UCUAUGAUCAUUAUGAGAAUUUUUAUCCAUGUUUUGCUAAGAGUUUUAUGUUGAUACAUGGAUUUUCAUAAAAAUGUAAUAACUAUAGUUUUUAUGAUAAAAAGAGAGUAAAUAUGAGAAUAAUGAGAUAUAUGAUGAAAAUGAUCAUAUUUGAGUAUUUGAGAAAUUUCGAGCAUGAAAUUGAGAAGGAAUUUGUUAGAUAUGUUCGUUGAUGUGUUUUCUAUGAGAUUUGAGUGGAUGACGAAAGAAAAGAGUCGAGAUUGAGUAUUACGAGUAUUUUGAUGUUUUUGAAUGUUUUUAAGUGCUUUAAGUGCUUAAAAUGAGUUUUGGUGUAUUUGCUUUGUUUAAUUGUUGAGUUGAGCAUGUUUACUUGUGUGUAUGUUUCGGAGUCGUUUUUCACGACCCACUGACCUACUGUUUUCGAGGGGUUCUUGAUACCCAAACACUCUGAAAAUUUUAUGGUAGGUAUAUUUGAGAGUCUUGAGCACACCGGUAAAAUUUCAAGUCAUUUGGACUUCGUUUGCUAUUUUUAUAAAAUGUAAAACUAAAACUGCUACAUUCUGCCGAAUUGUUCGGUGAGUAGCCAAUAGAGUCAUCGUUUCCAGUAGCUUUCCUUAGCAUUCUGGAACCCAAAUUUUUAUGGUUGAGACCUUAGUGUCUUAGCUAAGUACCCACAAAAUUUCAGACCGUUUUGACAACGUUUACUAUUUUUCAAAAAUCAAACUUUUCGGUUGCCAAAAACUGCCGAAUAUGGUAGACUGUAGUAAAACAGUCAUAUCUCCUAAAAUACUUGGAGUUUUUGAUCCUACUUUUUUUUAAAUGAAACUAGACUCGAAGAGGUUUCUUUUGGUAUGAGUUACGACCCCAGGAGAGGUCUGUACAGAGUCUGGUGAGGUUUUAAAGUUGAGUCAGUGCAGUGUAAAGCUUGUUUUCGACUUGUCUAUGUGUGUUUUUAAUAUGCCUAAGUGUUUAUACUUGUUUAUGUGCUUGUUUGCUAUAAGUUUGAGUCGAGUUGAGAGUUAAGUCGAUAUUUGGACGUGUGAAUCCUUAGAAGCCGAGUAUACCUAGGGAUUGAGUUUUAACGGGUAAAUAGAUGUUGAGUGAGAAGUUAGAGUAAAGAAGAGAUUGGAUUUAGAAUUUGAGUUUCUGACUAAGGUUUGUUUUAUCACAUGAACCUUCGAUGACGAUGACGAUGUGAUGAUGACAUAUGAAGGCCCGAGCGAGACGAAGCAGUAAGUUGCCUGAUUUCUUUCCAGAUUAAGCGAAGGACUUCAGGCUAAGCUGGGAGUGAGAUUGGACUGGUGCUGAUGGGGGAGAGUUUCAAAUGAUGUAAAUUAAAUUACUAUUUUGCCUCGAUGAUAAUAGAGUCUGAUGUUUGAAUUACUUAGUUUCUUUUGAGAUCAAGCAAUACACUCACGGUUAUGUGUCUUCAUACAUAUAAUCGGUUCGCCUUUUGCUGCGAUACUCUGCAAAUUAUGCUUCCUUAUGAAAAAUGAACUAUACGCGUUUUGUUUU